rnacentral:lncRNA from 1 species
ACACAUUGGUUUGUUCAUUGAUACUUUGAUGAUCAUCUGCUGAGCUGCUUUUAUUAGCUUGGGUUUUAGGCUUUGUCAACGUGCAAGUAUUAUCUUUAAGCUAGACGGGCAUUGAAAAAAAAAAAAAAAAGCAGCAACACUAAAAGCUUCAACCACUUUCCAAGACUUUCCUGGUUUCUUCUUUACAUCUAUUUCCCGGUCUGCACAUUCUUGCUCCAGUUAUAACUGCAUGUGGCAAUAUAUACAAGUUAAUCUGGUUUGGUCUUGAGUGCUGUCUUAAGAAAAAGGGACACUCGCUUGUCAAACUCCUAUAACAUGAAAAAUCACCAGUGGAAGCAUAUUCCACCACUUUCCUGCGAUAAGUUUGAGAUACUUGAAUUUCAGAUAAACAUUCGCUACUUCAAUUUGAUAUGAUUAAAAGGGUAAUUUUUUUGUCACGAUGGCAGGCAGUAUUUGUUGGACACAACCACGGAUUGGAUUGGUGCUGCCCCUACAAGAAGCUGUGGCUAUGCUUUGCCAGGCAUACUGGGUAUGGUGGCUAUGGUAAUUGGGCUAGAGGCGCGAGAAUUAUUGAGAUAAGUCAACACCCUUUCUCUAUCAAGUCUUGGAUAAGGAUGGAGAAUCACGAUGUACACAGUGAAGUUGAUUUGAGUUCUUAAAAGCUUUCGAUGUACAGUGAAAAAAAGUAGCCAGAUGAUAAAGGGCAGUGUUGUCAUUUACACAUGUAUCUAGCUCUCGUAGAGAAUGUAUAGAAUAAUUUGUUGAUUAUAUCAUGCUGGUAACCCAUUCAUGAUAAUCUCGAUCACAAUGCUUGCUUGAAGAGUAAAAUCCUUGCAAUCAUUUGAAACUGAGUUCUAGCUCCUCGAAGCAUAGUAUAAUAUCACUUCAUCAAACUGCAAAGCUAAUUUCCAUUGGUGCAGCUAGGCAAUUUUGUUUCCAUUCACACACCUUUCAGGCUUUUGGAAUGCCGCUUUUUCCAAUGUAAGGACUAUGAUCGGAAAAAUCUAGCCUGCUGCAUUGUGGAGGAGUGUGGACUCCUAAGUAUCAAACUGAGUUUCUAUAAGCAGCCACGGAUCAGCCACUAUUGGAUUACAGCACGUCGUCCUGAAACAAGUUGCUAAGGAUUACACUCAUGUAACAGUUAUUGGAGUCGAAUGAACUCAAAAAACGAUCUUGUCUUAUAGAUACGUGAUUGAUGUGUUGGAUCUUACCAAUGCAUGACGUGUCAUUGUGUGAUUCCGGAAUUGCAGCUUUAGAGGGACACAGCGUUUGCAGCUCAUGCAGAAUGAGAUAGAGCAGAACGCGUUGUCCGAUGGAUAAUCCUCAGUCCACUGUACGUACCUUUUGCUUUCUCGAUUCUGGCGGUGGAUCCUUCCGAGCAGUAAUAUCAAACGCCCAAUCUCAGGCCGUCCUUCAACCGUAUAUUCUGACUCGAUCUUCUUUAGCCGGAAUACCCUGCGAUGAUCGAAAAUCCUCAAGUUUCUGGCUCUGUGGUGUCUCCUCAGAAAGAUGUUGAUGGUAGACCAACGGCCAUGCCUGCAUAUUCCGUAGCGGAAAUGGAAACUCUCGCUGCUUACUCUGCCCUUUUAGCUUGGCUUGGAAGAUAAGCAAUUCUGUCUUUUCCACAAGGGACAGCGACAGGGGUGGGGGAAAAACAUCAUGGGACGCAACAGCGACGGGGGACGUGAAAGAUAUUGAACUUAGAUACUCCUAGGAGGUUUAGCAUAUUCUGUUGUUUGGUACGUG